rnacentral:rRNA from 1 species
GAUGAACGCUGGCGGCGUGCCUAAUACAUGCAAGUCGAGCGAACAGAUAAGGAGCUUGCUCCUUUGACGUUAGCGGCGGACGGGUGAGUAACACGUGGAUAACCUACCUAUAAGACUGGGAUAACUUCGGGAAACCGGAGCUAAUACCGGAUAAGAUUUUGAACCGCAUGGUUCAAUAGUGAAAGACGGCCUUGCUGUCACUUAUAGAUGGAUCCGCGCCGUAUUAGCUAGUUGGUAAGGUAACGGCUUACCAAGGCAACGAUACGUAGCCGACCUGAGAGGGUGAUCGGUCACACUGGAACUGAGACACGGUCCAGACUCCUACGGGAGGCAGCAGUAGGGAAUCUUCCGCAAUGGGCGAAAGCCUGACGGAGCAACGCCGCGUGAGUGAUGAAGGUCUUCGGAUCGUAAAACACUGUUAUCAGGGAAGAACAAACGUGUAAGUAACUGUGCACGUCUUGACGGUACCUGAUCAGAAAGCCACGGCUAACUACGUG